rnacentral:rRNA from 1 species
GACGAACGCUGGCGGCGUGCUUAACACAUGCAAGUCGAACGGAAAGGCCCUGCUUUUGUGGGGUGCUCGAGUGGCGAACGGGUGAGUAACACGUGAGUAACCUGCCCUUGACUUUGGGAUAACUUCAGGAAACUGGGGCUAAUACCGGAUAGGAGCUCCUGCUGCAUGGUGGGGGUUGGAAAGUUUCGGCGGUUGGGGAUGGACUGGCGGCUUAUCAGCUUGUUGGUGGGGUAGUGGCUUACCAAGGCUUUGACGGGUAGCCGGCCUGAGAGGGUGACCGGCCACAUGGGGACUGAGAUACGGCCCAGACUCCUACGGGGGGCAGCAGUGGGGAAUGUUGCACAAUGGGCGGAAGCCUGAUGCAGCAACGCCGCGUGCGGGAUGACGGCCUUCGGGUUGUAAACCGCUUUCGCCUGUGACGAAGCGUGAGUGACGGUAAUGGGUAAAGAAGCACCGGCUAACUCCGU